UUGCACAUACCCCUAUCGCUCCUUCUGAGGAGGAGGUAAUCAAUCUGAGUCCUCGCCGCCGAACUCUUAAAGGUGACCAAAUGCUCCUCCUCUUCUGAAAUGUCGAGUUCGCAAACAGAAGCUCGGAAGCCCUGCCGAACUCAAGCAGUGACGUGCCUCCUCCAUUCCUAACCCCAAAGCCGAAGCCACCGUGCACCUCAC
rnacentral:lncRNA from 1 species